UCCCUGAUUGUCCAGUGGUUAAGACCCUGCGUUCCCACUGCAGGGGGCAUGGAUUCGAUCCCUGGUCAGGGAA
rnacentral:tRNA from 1 species